AUUGAACGCUGGCGGCAUGCCUUACACAUGCAAGUCGAACGGCAGCACGGGGGCAACCCUGGUGGCGAGUGGCGAACGGGUGAGUAAUGCAUCGGAACGUGCCCAGUAGUGGGGGAUGACCCGGCGAAAGCCGGGCUAAUAGCGCAUACGACCCAAGGGUGAAAGCGGGGGACCGUAAGGCCUCGCGCUAUUGGAGCGGCCGAUGUCUGAUUAGCUAGUGGGCGGGGUAAGAGCCCACCAAGGCGACGAUCAGUAGCUGGUCUGAGAGGACGACCAGCCACACUGGGACUGAGACACGGCCCAGACUCCUACGGGAGGCAGCAGUGGGGAAUUUUGGACAAUGGGCGCAAGCCUGAUCCAGCCAUGCCGCGUGCGGGAAGAAGGCCUUCGGGUUGUAAACCGCUUUUGGCAGGAACGAAACGGCGCAAGCCAAUACCUUGCGCUAAUGACGGUACCUGCAGAAUAAGCACCGGCUAACUACGUGCCAGCCGCCGCCGUAAGAC
rnacentral:rRNA from 1 species